rfam:Bombyx mori DNA, contig: Bm_scaf74_contig31549, strain: p50T/Dazao, build 2, whole genome shotgun sequence.
UUAACUCUAAUUUGUAUGGAGUUGGAUAGCUUCCCUUCGUUUGACGUCAGGGGCGCUGUUCCAACUCCAUACAAAUUGGAGUUA